GACGAACGCUGGCGGCGUGCUUAACACAUGCAAGUCGAGCGGUAAGGCCCUUUCGGGGGUACACGAGCGGCGAACGGGUGAGUAACACGUGGGUGACCUGCCCUCAGCUCUGGGAUAAGCCUGGGAAACUGGGUCUAAUACUGGAUAUGACUCCACGGUGCAUGUCGUGGGGUGGAAAGCCUUGUGCGGCUGAGGAUGGGCCCGCGGCCUAUCAGCUUGUUGGUGGGGNGAUGGCCUACCAAGGCGACGACGGGUAGCCGGCCUGAGAGGGCGACCGGCCACACUGGGACUGAGACACGGCCCAGACUCCUACGGGAGGCAGCAGUGGGGAAUCUUGCGCAAUGGGCGAAAGCCUGACGCAGCGACGCCGCGUGAGGGAUGACGCCUGGU
rnacentral:rRNA from 1 species